rnacentral:tRNA from 1 species
AGCGGGGUAGGGUAGCCUGGUAGCCUGCGGGGCUCAUAAGGGGGCAACCCUUGGGGUACCCCGAGGUCCUGGGUUCAAAUCCCAGCCCCGCUA